rnacentral:piRNA from 1 species
AGCAUGGUGUAAUAUUAAGGACUGGG